GACGAACGCUGGCGGCGUGCCUAACACAUGCAAGUCGAGCGAGGAGGAGAUAGCUUGCUAUCGAAUCCUAGCGGCGGACGGGUGAGUAACGCGUGAGCAAUCUGCCUUUUACAGGGGGAUAACGCAUCGAAAGAUGUGCUAAUACCGCGUAAGACCACAGUACCGCAUGGUACAGGGGUCAAAGGAGCAAUCCGGUAAAAGAUGAGCUCGCGUCCGAUUAGCUAGUUGGUGAGAUAACAGCCCACCAAGGCGACGAUCGGUAGCCGACCUGAGAGGGUGAUCGGCCACAUUGGAACUGAGACACGGUCCAGACUCCUACGGGAGGCAGCAGUGGGGAAUAUUGGGCAAUGGGCGAAAGCCUGACCCAGCAACGCCGCGUGAGGGAAGAAGGGUUUCGGCUCGGUAAACCUCUAUCAGCAGGGAGAAAAUGACGGUACCUGACUAAGAAGCCCCGGCUAACUACGUG
rnacentral:rRNA from 1 species